CUUUUGGUUGUUAAAGCACUUUAAGCGGAGGAGGAGGCUACCGAGAUUAAUACUCUUGGAUAGUGGACGUUACUCGCAGAAUAAGCACCGGCUAACUCUGUGCCAGCAGCCGCGGUAAUACAGAGGGUGCGAGCGUUAAUCGGAUUUACUGGGCGUAAAGCGUGCGUAGGCGGCUUUUUAAGUCGGAUGUGAAAUCCCUGAGCUUAACUUAGGAAUUGCAUUCGAUACUGGGAAGCUAGAGUAUGGGAGAGGAUGGUAGAAUUCCAGGUGUAGCGGUGAAAUGCGUAGAGAUCUGGAGGAAUACCGAUGGCGAAGGCAGCCAUCUGGCCUAAUACUGACGCUGAGGUACGAAAGCAUGGGGAGCAAACAGGAUUAGAUACCCUGGUAGUCCAUGCCGUAAACGAUGUCUACUAGCCGUUGGGGCCUUUGAGGCUUUAGUGGCGCAGCUAACGCGAUAAGUAGACCGCCUGGGGAGUACGGUCGCAAGACUAAAACUCAAAUGAAUUGACGGGGGCCCGCACAAGCGGUGGAGCAUGUGGUUUAAUUCGAUGCAACGCGAAGAACCUUACCUGGUCUUGACAUAGUAAGAACUUUCCAGAGAUGGAUUGGUGCCUUCGGGAACUUACAUACAGGUGCUGCAUGGCUGUCGUCAGCUCGUGUCGUGAGAUGUUGGGUUAAGUCCCGCAACGAGCGCAACCCUUUUCCUUAUUUGCCAGCGGGUUAAGCCGGGAACUUUAAGGAUACUGCCAGUGACAAACUGGAGGAAGGCGGGGACGACGUCAAGUCAUCAUGGCCCUUACGACCAGGGCUACACACGUGCUACAAUGGUCGGUACAAAGGGUUGCUACCUAGCGAUAGGAUGCUAAUCUCAAAAAGCCGAUCGUAGUCCGGAUUGGAGUCUGCAACUCGACUCCAUGAAGUCGGAAUCGCUAGUAAUCGCGGAUCAGAAUGCCGCGGUGAAUACGUUCCCGGGCCUUGUACACACCGCCCGUCACACCAUGGGAAUUUGUUGCACCAGAAGUAGGUAGUCUAACCUUAGGGGGGACGCUACCACGGUUACCCGAGAC
rnacentral:rRNA from 1 species